rnacentral:tRNA from 1 species
GUCGGUAUCGAUUAGGGGUUAAAUCACUUCGUUGUGGUUACUUUGCUCCGAAGAGCCGCUGGUUCGAUUCCAGCUACCGACA